UUCCUGUAGUUAAAUGUAUAACGAUGGUUUUUCAGAUCGUAGAACCUGGAGAAAAGCCAGGCAGGAAU
rnacentral:tRNA from 1 species